GAGUAGCCCGUUUUUUUGCCGGAUCAUUUUAGCUGCAGUGCAGUGUGUACCCCAUGCAUCAACGUUGGCAUCUACUGGAGGUGCGCCUGCUGCUGGAGGGCGUGGUUGUUGUGGCCGCGGCGGGGGUCGUAGCCGUCCCCGUCCACCUCCUUGAACGACUCCGUGUGCACAGCCGUGUGUUGCUGCACGGCGGCGGCGGCGCCGCCGCCGCCGCCGGCGUGGCAGGGGUUCCCGGCGACUUUGGUGACGCGCUCGGAGUGCGUGUCGUGGUCGUCCAUGUUGGGUUGAGGCUGGCCGCUGCCGUGGAAGGCACUCCUCCGCCGCAACCGCAUGGCCAUAGUGAUUGGUUUCCCCUGCGUUUACCCUGUGCCUUCGCACUUGGAUCGCUAUGGUUCGCGGCUUUGCGUGGAUCAACUUGGCUGCUU
rnacentral:lncRNA from 1 species